UUCGUUCUUUUUUUCUUGUCUCUCUUUCUUUCUAGCGUAAAGGCUGCACGAGCAAAGGAUAUGGUGGGUAUGCACCUGCACUACUCCGGUUCGCUAUAAUAAGAUACGUAUUAAAAUAACUGGGGGCCGCUCCUUGCCACGUACCACCACGUUGAGUAGGUUGUAGGUGGAUGCGAUAUUUACCCGCAACAAUAUUUACAUCGCGCGAUAAAUUAUGCCGAGAAAUAUUGUAGGAUUAUAACGCGCCUCGUGCCGCGUCCAAAUCGUAAAUCGUUCUCGAGCGAUAACUCCUUCUGUAUUUGGCUUUAAUGUACGACGUGCAAAUACAUUGUAGCAUUAAGGCUGAUUCUAACGGAAUCGUAGACUUGAAUUGCUAGCGAAUGGAAUAGUCAGUUCUCGUGUGUGAUUAAAAUCGUGGUUUAUUAUGCGCACUAUAUUCAGGAGAAGGAAAUGACUUUAAUGGUCUGAAACGAAAAAGUCGGAGUUUCGCGAACGUCUAGAGGAGACCGACUGUCUGUUCUUCGUGUCUGAAAUUAGUCCGUUAGGGAAGAAGGGCGCAGGGCACUUAUAAAUGUAUUUUUCAAAUGAUUCAUUUUGCGAAUUUUUUAUAAAUAUAUAUCAUAAUUAAUUGUGCUGAAGCAUAUAUUUAUAUUAUUCAUUUAGGGUUAAAAGUUUAAGUACAGACCACCUGGUGUAGACGAUGCCGGAAGUCUUCUCGAAUGCUCGUCUAAUGCAUAUAUGUGUAACAUCAGAUACGCCGCAGUAACGUAAAAAGAAAACGGUCCCGAAAACGUCCGACGUGUUUUUGUUGCGUCCUUUUUGAGAUCCGAGAUGCUUAAGGUGGCGUGAAUUUUAAUUAGUGACGCGUUGAUUGGCCCGCUUCCCGGCCCUGACAGGGAGGACUACUCGCAGGAGAUAGGGAGCCAGGACAAUUUGUUAGAAUUAGAAAUAAGUGAAAACACAUACGGCAAGAGACAGUGUCUCGCGUAGCCACGUUGACGUGCGCGCGCAUCCAAGGAACUACGCUUCGUCGGGAAUCCGUCAGAGCAACUUGUACAGGAGGUCAGGAAUAUUAGAAGCGUACGUAAAUGCAUAUCGAAUAUCAAGCUCUUCUUCAGAAAACAGACACUCGAUUCAUGGUAGGUGAGCACCAGGUAUAUUUUAAGCGAACUUGUCGUCAUUUGUAGAAAGAAAUCUUGUUGAAAAUGAAUGGAAAAUACAGUGUUGACACGGAUGAUAUGAAAUUUAUUAAGGAAUGUUAAAACGUCACGCAAGCAUAUCAAAGGGAACAAGCGACCCGGGAGUAAGAAUAGUUCAUAGAAGAAAAAGAAAAGGAAGGAAAUAAAGGAAGUCUCGAGUAGGAGAAGGAGGAGAAUGAUCCAAGUGAAGUGAAAUGCCUACGGAGGUGACUGACGAACGCCGCUAAUGAGACAACCGUGUAACCUCCAUAUUGUAGACUCCUGGCAUCUCGUCUUCGUAUAUCUAGCGAAGUCUAACGAUCUCGUUUGGUAGCUAAAGAGGAAGUAUUGAAGGGUCUAAAAAUCGUGGAGGUGAAACAGUGAGAAGAUCCCGGUGGUUUGUGACUCGUCGAAGGCGCGGAUGUGUUUAUAAACGAUCAGGGUGGCGAGUACGUUUAAUAAAUGAGUAGCCAUUGCGUAGAGGCCGCAUGGAGAAAAGUAGACGUAAGCAAGCCGUCGUUUAUCGAGAGACUGCUACAUGACAAGGCUCUUCUCUUCCUCUCGAAGCUCUUCGGUGAUGCUGAAAGCUGCUGGAUGAAUUAGGUGAAGCUGAAGUUCGGAGGAAUCUGUGGCGGAGGAUAAGGGCACUCGACAUGAAGGAAUCUGGGAAUCGCUUAUUGUCCAUAAUGACGCGAUAUUUCAAAGGAGACGCAGAAGAGGCCGCGGCUCGGGAAGUCGAGAUUUUUCUGCUUUACUUUUUUCAAUUUUUUUUUCUCUUCUACUACCUCACCGUCUUUCUCUCAUUCUCUUCCCUUCAGGAACCAAGGAGGGAACACGUGUCGUGCUCGAACCGACGAAGGAGUCGCAUCUGUCGGCGCCGCUCGUGCCUGACUCUCCGCUUCUUCACGUUUUCCGCCAGGUCCACCCUCGACGCGGAGAAAAAACGCAGUCUCCGUUCUCAAGCGACCAUGCGAACAAGAGAUCAGAGUACUGUGAGAAGAUCCCGCAGCGGAUUCUUCCCUACGUCUCUAUACGAGUUUACGCCUGAACUGAACUCAAAGAGAUCACCGUCGGUGGUUUGUUGGCUUGAUGCUCUGUGCUCUCUCGUGUAUGUAUCAUUCCACGAAUAAUAUUUUUUCCCGGGAGGCCCGUCCCGUCAUAAAUGCCGAUGGGUCUCUGGCGCGUUUGAUCUCGACUGAAAUAGUGAGAGCCGUGCUCUCAGCACGUACCAUCCUUCCACGCCACUUCGUCAAGCGGUCCGCGUAAUUUAGAAUACUUUAUGGUUUUUUCGAAGGCGCAAUUUUACCGUCGAGUUUCGCGGGUGUGACCUAAGGAGAGGUAAGUGGCCUGCAAUGAACGAUAGGAGUAGCUGCGAGACAGCGGUGAAUAGCUUCCAAGAUCAUUAAGCCUCCCUUGAAAUUCCUGGAAGGAAUACCAAAAAUCUUAGUUCAACGUCAAUUUAUCUAAUAGGAAGAAAAACAGUGUAACUGGGAUUUAUGGAAGCUCAGCUACGAACUAGCCUGUUUCCUGUUACCUUAUAACACAAAGAAGCGGACUUUUAUAGCUGAUACUGAUCAAUAGCGGCUAAUCUAAAGGAAAAGUAAGUCAGAGAAUCGGACAUGGUGCCCAGUUACGUUACCCUGUUAAGUCUCCUGGCAAAUAUCCCACGGAGUAUCCCGAGCUCUUCACACAUCCGCAGGCAACGAAUACUCAGGGUCGUUCCGCGUGGAAGGGUCAAAAAGUAUCCAAGGGGGUGUAAUAAAUCUGCCGGCGCUUAGAAGGGGAAAAAAAUAUGGGCUAUACAGAUUUUCACGGGUUCCAGCUAAAAGAAGUGCACCUAAGGACUUUUUAAAGUGGUCAAGGAUUCCUUUCCGGCACUCACGAUCGCCAUAGAGACCCGAAGGGUGGUACGAUAAAUCUCUGCUUCGAAGAUAAAAGAUCAAGAUCGAUAUCCUUAAUUAUUCUCUAUGUGAAAACCAGUGGGCACGGCAGGAAUAAAUAUACCCUCGACAAUCUGGCGCCUCCUCAUCGAAGCGAUGUCAGAUGAUCUUCCUAUCGAUGAAUACAAAUCAAAGAGCAUUUUGCAUUGCGCCUCGCGUUAGGACUUUGCGCGUCCUCGUAGCUUCUGUGCGGACUGUCCUUU